UUAUCCGGAAUCAUUGGGCGUAAAGCGCCUGUAGGUUGUUUAAUAAGUCUGUUGUUAAAGACUAGGGCUUAACCCUAGAAAAGCAAUGGAAACUACUAGACUAGAGUAUGGCAGGGGUAGAGGGAAUUUCUAGUGUAGCGGUGAAAUGCGUAGAUAUUAGAAAGAACACCAGUGGCGAAAGCGCUCUACUGGACCAUUACUGACACUCAGAGGCGAAAGCUAGGGUAGCAAAAGGGAUUAAAUACCCCUGCAGUCCUAGCCGUAAACGAUGGAUACUAGAUGUUGUGCAUAAUGUACAGUAUCGUAGCUAACGCGUUAAGUAUCCCGCCUGGGGAGUACGCUCGCAAGGGUGAAACUCAAAGGAAUUGACGGGGGCCCGCACAAGCGGUGGAGCAUGUGGUUUAAUUCGAUGCAACGCGAAGAACCUUACCAGGGCUUGACAUACUACAAAUUCUUUAGAGAUGAAGAAGUGCCUUCGGGAAUGUAGAUACAGGUGGUGCAUGGCUGUCGUCAGCUCGUGUCGUGAGAUGUUGGGUUAAGUCCCGCAACGAGCGCAACCCUUGUUUUUAGCUACUAAUUCGUUAGGUUUUCUAGAAAGACUGCCGGUGACAAACCGGAGGAAGGUGAGGAUGACGUCAAGUCAGCAUGCCCCUUAUGUCCUGGGCUACACACGUGCUACAAUGGUUAAGACAAAGAGUCGCGAGCUCGCGAGAGUCAGCUAAUCUCAUAAACUUAGCCUAAGUUCAGAUUGUAGGCUGCAAC
rnacentral:rRNA from 1 species